rnacentral:rRNA from 1 species
AACGAACGCUGGCGGCAUGCCUAACACAUGCAAGUCGAACGAGACCUUCGGGUCUAGUGGCGCACGGGUGCGUAACGCGUGGGAACCUGCCCUUAGGUUCGGAAUAACUCCCCGAAAGGGGUGCUAAUACCGGAUAAUGUCUUCGGACCAAAGAUUUAUCGCCUUUGGAUGGGCCCGCGUUGGAUUAGCUAGUUGGUAGGGUAAAAGCCUACCAAGGCGACGAUCCAUAGCUGGUCUGAGAGGAUGAUCAGCCACACUGGGACUGAGACACGGCCCAGACUCCUGCGGGAGGCAGCAGGGGGGAAUAUUGGACAAGGGGCGAAAGCCUGAUCCAGCAAUGCCGGGUGAGUGAUGAAGGCCUUAGGGUUGUAAAGCUUUUUUACCCGGGAUGAUAAUGACAGUACCGGGAGAAAAAGCCCCGGCUAACCCCGU